GGGGAGUACGGCCGCAAGGUUAAAACUCAAAGGAAUUGACGGGGACCCGCACAAGCGGUGGAUGAUGUGGAUUAAUUCGAUGCAACGCGAAAAACCUUACCUACCCUUGACAUGGCAGGAACUUUCCAGAGAUGGAUUGGUGCUCGAAAGAGAACCUGCACACAGGUGCUGCAUGGCUGUCGUCAGCUCGUGUCGUGAGAUGUUGGGUUAAGUCCCGCAACGAGCGCAACCCUUGUCAUUAGUUGCUACGAAAGGGCACUCUAAUGAGACUGCCGGUGACAAACCGGAGGAAGGUGGGGAUGACGUCAAGUCCUCAUGGCCCUUAUGGGUAGGGCUUCACACGUCAUACAAUGGUCGGUACAGAGGGUUGCCAAGCCGCGAGGUGGAGCCAAUCCCAGAAAACCGAUCGUAGUCCGGAUCGCAGUCCGCAACUCGACUGCGUGAAGUCGGAAUCGCUAGUAAUCGCGGAUCAGAAUGCCGCGGUGAAUACGUUCCCGGGUCUUGUACACAC
rnacentral:rRNA from 1 species